CAAUUGGAUUUAAUGCACAUCCUGCCUUGUCCGUGUAUAAAAAAGCGAGGACGUCGGCUGUUGGUAACAGUUCGUGACGUGAACCGGUUACGCGUACGAUUAUAUAGCAAACAAACAUGAAGCUCGUACUGCUUGUGGUGGCUAUAGCUUUGGUGGUCUUCCAAGACGUUAACGCCGGAUGUGAGGAUCAAACGCCUCCCUGCUCGUGUAAGGUAGGUCAGGGGGUGUGGAAGUCGGGAUCGGCCGGGUGCAAGUACAUCUGCAAGGAGGGUGUCGUUGAAAUGACGUGCGCGCAAGCAGACGAAACCUACAAACGCGAACAGAAACAAGGUUAAACAUGUUGUAACUUUUAUUUAUAUCAAUAAAGAAUCACCUGGCCUUUUUA